AGUGAACGCUGGCGGCGUGCUUAACACAUGCAAGUCGAACGAGAACGGAUAUUAGCUUGCUAAUAUUGUCAGCUAAGUGGCGCACGGGUGAGUAAUAUAUAGUUAACCUGCCUUAGAGAAGGGGAUAAUUGUUGGAAACGACUUGUAAGACCCUAUAUGCCUUUAAUACAUAAGUAUGCAAGGGAAAUAUUUAUAGCUCUAAGAUGGGACUGUACGGUAUCAGAUAGUUGGUGAGGUAAUGGCUCACCAAGUCAAUGACGCCUAACUGGUUUGAGAGGAUGAUCAGUCACACUGGAACUGAGACACGGUCCAG
rnacentral:rRNA from 1 species